GAUGAAGAACGUAGCGAAAUGCGAUAAGUAAUGUGAAUUGCAGAAUUCAGUGAAUCAUCGAAUCUUUGAACGCACAUUGCGCCCAUUAGUAUUCUAGUGCGCAUGCCUGUUCGAGCGUCAUUUCAACCCUUAAGCCUAGCUUAGUAUUGGGAAUCGACUUUACUGUCGUUCCUCAAAUUCAACGGCGGAUUUAUAGCAAUCUCUGAACGUAGUAAUUUUUUUCCUCGUUUUUGAAAUACUAUAAACCUCAGCCGCUAAACCCCCAAUUUUUCUAUGGUUGACCUCGGAUCAGGUAGGAAUACCCGCUGAACUUAAGCAUAUCAAUAAGCGGAGGA
rnacentral:misc_RNA from 1 species